GGGGCGGCCGCGGCGGAGCCGAGCGAGCUGCCGCCGCCGCUGGCAGGCAUAGUGCUAUUAUAGCGAGCAGCCUUGCCGGUCGGCUGCACUGAGCCAAUGGCAGGGAGCCACUGGGCUGGUACCGAGCGCUGUCAGAGGAGGACAUCUGUCACACGCCGCCUCCACCGCCACCCACCGCCCCACGCCCCGCUGCCCCCGCCGCGGACGGGCCGGCGGCAGGCACUUCCACCUGCCCGGGGCGGAGCAGCCCCCUCGGUCCCCGGGACCGAUGGAUCGCCGCUUCCGCCCGCCGCUCUCGGCUCCAGCGGCCCGUGACGGCGUAAUUGGGUGAAAUCGGUCAUUUCUCAUCCCCGCUCGGGCUAAGCUCCAUCCCGCCCUUUGCUGGGCUGCGGCGGCCGCAGCCCAUUCCCAGCGCAUCCCGCCCGACGAAGCUGCAGGAUCAGAAGCGGGCUGGCAAAACUUCUGGGUCACGGCAUCGGGAAGCGCCGGGGCGGCAUCCUCCCCUUCCCGGGGCGUCCUUAUCCCUCCCUCCUGGGGUGCCGCAUCCCCCCCGGGCCGCCCGCGUCCUCCCCCGCGGUUACUCACGGCUCUCCCGGCCCGGGGCCGCCGGCGGAGGCGGCUCUGCCCGCCCGGCCUCGCAGGGCCUGGGCGGCUGCAGGGAAAAGGAGACCCACCAUGGUUUCUUGCAGGCUCUGGCGCUGCCUCUGCGAUCCUCACCCUCAGCCUUAACGCCCGUAUAACGUACUCGCUCCGUUCUAUAAAGCCCCCAGCAAACUGUGGAUUAAAAACCAUUAGGUACAUCAGCAUGAGGCAGCUGUAGCAUACCCGUGCUCCUGCACCAGCACAAGUGCUUCUUUUUGCAGCUCACAAAUUGGAGCUCGCUGCCAGGAACAGAAUUUGUCACAGUAUAAGACGUGCUCAAGAAAGAAAGAUGCUCAAGUGUGGUUUGUUGUUUCUGGUGUUUGUUUUUCUGGUGGGUUUUUUUUCCCCAUAACGUAUCUAUGAUUUGCAGCUUUAUCACGUAAGGCGUGAAACACUCUUACAGCUGCCUCGUCUUCCAACAUGCUUUACCCUUUAUUCUGGGUUGUAAAAAUCAAGACUGAUGGGGUGAAAUUCCAGUGCCAAAAGAGGGAACACCUUAGAAAAGAAGCCCAGAACCAUGAUGUAACAUCUGAAAAUGUCUUUUAGUCAGCAUUUACUCCUGGUAACAUAAAACCACCAUCCUGUCAUCCUGCCCUCCAAAAUAAAGGAGCUGCUGCCAGAAAAUUUGGGAUGGGGGACGCACACAAACACUUUCCUGGCAGAAAUUACUCUCUCCUGAUGAAGCAACGAGCAGGUUUUUGAGAGGUACCUUCUUCUGAUAAGCAUUUUCUAUCAUUACUUCCCUUUGUACACAGUGAAUUGUAAAUUUUGACAGCUGUCACUCAUCCAUCAGCAUUUCCAGUACUUAGGAAGGAAUUACAGGAAUGGCAAAAGUGGUAAGUUUUGACAGCUAAGACACAGGUGAGAGAUCAGAAUUUGCUGCUCUUGUUACAGCCAAAAAAGGUGUCAUAAUGUACACGCACAGUAAUACUAUUUUUCUGGUUAUGAGCGUGUAUGGGUACAUCUAGAAAUAACCAGCAAGUUCGUUACCAUGCAAAAAUGAAGUCAAUAUUAUAAAAAAAUCUGAUAAAUUUAACAACACAGCACACUUAAGGCCUGGUUCCUAUUUCAGACAGGAUCACAGGUACUGUUCUCUCUCAAAAAAUGUCAGAAUUUAAGGCAGCAUAGACUAACGAAAAGCAUGAAAUUCUUAUGCAUGAAAUAUUAUUAUGCAAGAAAUAAAAUUAGGCAACGCUUUUCUGUGAAUAAAUAUAUUCCAACUUGGACUAGAAACAUUUUUUCCACCUUCUAAAUAUAACAUUACUGAUAUGUGAGGACCCUUCUGCCUGGGGUCCUUCAAAAACUUUUUGAAGAACUGGAACCUUUUUCUCUCAAAUCCUUGCAUUGACACGCUGCUGACAUGUUUUGUCACACCUGCUACAGCCAUACCUGGGCCCUUUCAGGGUUGUAGAUGCAGAGAUAGAGAGAGCUGCUGGCUGGCCUUUCAGAGGUGUGCAGGUGUGCGCUGCUUGCACGCUCUUUUUAGAGUCCAAGAACUUGGGAACAUGUUAUUGUAGCAACAGAGAAAUUAUCUACUCCUGUAGCUCAAGUUUUAAAGGCUCAACCUGCUUUAUAACAAACAGGAGUGACUGAAACAGCUUUAAAAGCUGUUAAAGCUUCUGCUAAUGAAGAUUAUUGGCCUCCUCUAUUAAAGGAGGAAAAAAACCAACAACUAAAGACCACUUGAUUCCUCCAAAGCACUCAAUAAACAAAUGACUAGCAGUACUAAAUAGCACCUAUAUACAUUUUCUACUCCUACCUCUUUAUUAUUAUUUUUUUUGGCUGAUCUUCUCUGAUACUUUGCUAUCUUAAUUUUUCACUGAAGUUUUCCUGCCUCAUUCUGUUUCUCUGUUAUGAUCACACAGGCUCAAGAUACUGCUUCCUUCCCACACCUUUUAUUUGUAAUAAAUUGCUAAUUUCAUCAAUCCCUAAACCCCAUGGAUCCUACAUACCAUUAGUCCUACCUAUUUCAGUCUUUGUCCUGUUCCUCUGGGUAAACAUCUGGAGUUUCAACUGUGUGUAUUACUAUUUAUUCGCAUCUCUGCCAAAUAAUAAUAAUAACCAGUGCUGCUUAUUUACUCCUU